UACAGAGGGUGCAAGCGUUAAUCGGAAUUACUGGGCGUAAAGCGUGCGUAGACGGUUAUCUAAGUCGGAUGUGAAAGCCCCGGGCUCAACCUGGGAAUUGCAUUCGAGACUGAAUAGCUAGGGUGCGGUAGAGGGAAGCGGAAUUUCCGGUGUAGCGGUGAAAUGCGUAGAUAUCCGGAGGAACACCGGUGGCGAAGGCGGCUCACUGGCCCGGUACUGACGCUGAGGUGCGAAAGCGUGGGGAGCAAACAGG
rnacentral:rRNA from 1 species